GCUCGGUUAGCUCAGACGGUAGAGCAUUAGACUUCAAAUCGGAGCGUCCGAGGUUCAAGUCCUUAAUCGCGCC
rfam:Biomphalaria glabrata isolate BB02 unplaced genomic scaffold LGTN_random_Scaffold11761, whole genome shotgun sequence.